CUCUGACACAGGUGCUGCAUGGCCGUCGUCAGCUCGUGUCGUGAGAUGUUGGGUUAAGUCCCGUAACGAGCGCAACCCCUAUCCCUAGUUGCUAGCAGUUCGGCUGAGAACUCUAGGGAGACUGCCGGUGACAAACCGGAGGAAGGUGGGGAUGACGUCAGGUCAUCAUGGCCCUUACGGCCAGGGCUACACACGUGCUACAAUGGUGCGUACAGAGGGCUGCAAACCCGCGAGGGGGAGCUAAUCUCACAAAACGCAUCGUAGUCCGGAUCGGAGUCUGCAACUCGACUCCGUGAAGUCGGAAUCGCUAGUAAUCGCGAAUCAGAAUGUCGCGGUGAAUACGUUCCCGGGCCUUGUACACACCGCCCGUCACACCAUGGGAGUGGAUUGCACCAGAAGUGGUUAGUCUAACCUUCGGGAGGA
rnacentral:rRNA from 1 species